UAAUGAUGGGUAGGGGAGCUUCCCAUACGGGUUGAAGCAUGACCGUAAGGACAUGUGGACAGUAUGGGAGUGAGAAUGUUGGCAUGAGUAGCGAGAUGUGGGUGAGAAUCCCACAGGCCGUAAACCCAAGGUUUCCAGGGGAAGGUUCGUCCGCCCUGGGUUAGUCGGGACCUAAGCUGAGGCCGAAAGGCGUAGGUGAUGGACAACAGGUUGAUAUUCCUGUACUACCGAUAACCGUUUGAGAGAAGGGAUGACACAGUAGGAUAAGCUAAGCACACUGUUGGUUAUGUGUGCCCAAGCAUUGAGGCAGUCAAAGUAGGCAAAUCCGCUUUGGUAAUGCUGGGAUGUGAUGGGGAGCGAAAUUUAGUAGCGAAGUAGCUGAUUUCACACUGUCAAGAAAAGUCUGUAUCGAGUGUAAAGGUACCCGUACCGCAAACCGACACAGGGGGGUGAGGAGAGUAUCCUAAGGCCAGCGAGAGAACUGUUGUUAAGGAACUCGGCAAAAUGACCCCGUAACUUAGGGAUAAGGGGUGCCACCAUCAGGUGGCCGCAGAGAAUAGGCCCAAGCGACUGUUUACCAAAAACAUAGGUUUCUGCUAAGUCGCAAGACGAUGUAUAGGAGCUGACGCCUGCCCGGUGCUGGAAGGUUAAGGGGAUCUGUUAGAGCAAUCGAAGCAGUGAACUUAAGCCCCAGUAAACGGCGGCCGUAACUAUAACGGUCCUAAGGUAGCGAAAUUCCUUGUCGGGUAAGUUCCGACCCGCACGAAAGGCGUAACGAUUUGGGCACUGUCUCA
rnacentral:rRNA from 1 species